CCUGGUUUGAUCCUGCCAGUAGUCAUAUGCUUGUCUCAAAGACUAAGCCAUGCAAGUCUAAGUACAUGCUUUUACAAAGUGAAACCGCGAAUGGCUCAUUAAAUCAGUUAUGGUUCCUUAGAUCGUACUAUCCUACUUGGAUAACUGUGGUAAUUCUAGAGCUAAUACAUGCAGCAGAACUCAGACCUUACGGGACGAGUGCUUUUAUUAGACCAAGACCAAUCGGGCUUCGGCUCGACACCCAUGGCGACUCUGGAUAACUUUGGGCUGAUCGCACGAUCUUGUAUCGGCGACGUUUCUUUUUAAGUGUCUGCCUUAUCAACUGUCGAUGGUAGGUUAUGCGCCUACCAUGGUCGUAACGGGUGACGGGGAAUCAGGGUUCGAUUCCGGAGAGGGAGCCUGAGAAACGGCUACCACAUCCAAGGAAGGCAGCAGGCGCGCAAAUUACCCACUCCCGGCAAGGGGAGGUAGUGACGAAAAAUAACGAUGCGGGACUCUUUUGAGGCCCCGCAAUCGGAAUGAGUACACUCGCUAAUUCCAGCUCCCAAUAGCGUAUAUUAAAGUUGUUGCGGGUAAAAAGCUCGUAGUUGGAUCUCAGUUCGAGACUGGCGGUCCGCCGUUCGGUGGUUACUGCCAGGACUCAACAUCCUGCCGGUUUUCCCCUGGUGCUCUUCACUGAGUGUCUCGGGUGCCCGGCACGUUUACUUUGAAAAAAUUAGAGUGCUCAAAGCAGGCGUUUAGCCUGAAUAAUGGUGCAUGGAAUAAUGUAAUAGGAUCUCGGUUCUAUUGUGUUGGUUUUCGGAACACGAGGUAAUGAUUAAAAGGGACAGACGGGGGCAUUCGUAUUGCGACGCUAGAGGUGAAAUUCUUGGACCGUCGCAAGACGAACUACUGCGAAAGCAUUUGCCAAGCAUGUUUUCAUCAAUCAAGAACGAAAGUUAGAGGUUCGAAGGCGAUCAGAUACCGCCCUAGUUCUAACCAUAAACGAUGCCAACCAGCAAUCAGCCUGAGUUCCUCAAAUGACUCGGCUGGCGGCUUCCGGGAAACCAAAGUUUAUGGGUUCCGGGGGAAGUAUGGUUGCAAAGCUGAAACUUAAAGGAAUUGACGGAAGGGCACCACCAGGAGUGGAGCCUGCGGCUUAAUUUGACUCAACACGGGAAAACUUACCCGGCCCGGACACCGGAAGGAUUGACAGAUUAAGAGCUCUUUCUUGAUUCGGUGGGUGGUGGUGCAUGGCCGUUCUUAGUUGGUGGAGCGAUUUGUCUGGUUAAUUCCGAUAACGAACGAGACUCUAGCCUACUUAAUAGAGAACCGAUUUCCUCUCGUCGGUUACUCUUCUUAGAGGGACAAGCGGCGUUUAGCCGCCCGAGACAGAGCAAUAACAGGUCUGUGAUGCCCUUAGAUGUCCGGGGCCGCACGCGCGCUACACUGAAGGAAUCAGCGUGUGUUCACCCUGGCCGAAAGGUCUGGGUAACCCGUUGAACCUCCUUCGUGAUAGGGAUAGGGGCUUGUAACUAUUCCCCUUGAACGAGGAAUUCCCAGUAAGCGCGAGUCAUAAGCUCGCGUUGAUUACGUCCCUGCCCUUUGUACACACCGCCCGUCGCUACUACCGAUUGAAUGAUUUAGUGAGGUCUUCGGACUGGUGCUCGGAGCGGCUCUCGGGUCGCCCCGGCGCACCGAAAAGAUGACCAAACUUGAUCAUUUAGAGGAAGUAAAAGUCGUAACAAGGUUUCCGUAGGUGA
rnacentral:rRNA from 1 species